UGCUCUGGGAUAGUCUUUCCUUACUGUUGCUAAUAUUCUAUAAGUGUAUAAUUUUUUUAAGUGGCGCCUUUUUUUCUCUCCUUUAUUUUUAUUUUUUCAAGCAGCGUCUUUUCAUUCUUUUACUUUACUUUUAUUUUUUUUUAAUUAUUAGGGGGCGCGCGCCCCCUGCGCCACCCCCUGGAUCCGCCACUGUUAUGCAUCAGUAACCCCAGUAACCCCAGGGCUAACGUACCGUGUUUUGAGCGUCCUUAUACCAGUAGGCUGACAGACACACCCUUCACCAGUCUUUGACUAAGAGAAAAUUCUGUUCGUUUCUUGACGUUAUCUGAAUAGCUUGGAUCGAAAAUGAAGCAUCUUUUAGCAAUCGUAUUGGUGGUGAUGGUCUUCGGUGCUUUACUGCCAGGUCAUGUCGACGCAGCACUUCGACCAGGCCAAGAGGGUCGAGACAUUCGAUUCGAACGCGAUGAGAUGAUCGCUAAACCGCGACGUAGCAACGGCAACGGCCCACUGCAGCACGGUGUUAGUCGCCGCCGCCGCAGCCGCAGCGGCGUCAUCAUGGCCUACAAUCUGAACGCCGAAGAGUCGGUGCUUGAGACUAUUG